GAUGAACGCUAGUGGCAGGCUUAACACAUGCAAGUCGAGGGGUAUAGUAGCAAUACUAGAGACCGGCGCACGGGUGCGUAACGCGUAUGCAACCUACCUUUUACAGAGGGAUAGCCCAGAGAAAUUUGGAUUAAUACCUCAUAGUGUUAUUAGAUGGCAUCAUUUGAUAACUAAAGUUCCAACGGUAAAGAUGGGCAUGCGUCCUAUUAGCUAGAUGGUAAGGUAACGGCUUACCAUGGCUACGAUAGGUAGGGGUCCUGAGAGGGAGAUCCCCCACACUGGUACUGAGACACGGACCAGACUCCUACGGAGGCAGCAGUGAGGAAUAUUGGACAAUGGCGCAAGCCUGAUCCAGCCAUGCCGCGUGCAGGAAGAAGCAUCUAUGGUGUGUAAACUGCUUUUGUACGGGAAGAAACACUCCUACGUGUAGGAGCUUGACGGUACCGU
rnacentral:rRNA from 1 species